GAUACAGAGAAGAUUAGCAUGGCCCCUGCGAAAGGAUGACACGCAAAUCUGUGAAGCGCUCCAUAUUUUA
rnacentral:snRNA from 1 species